rnacentral:rRNA from 1 species
CCCUUAGAUGUCCUGGGCCGCACGCGCGCUACACUGAUGCAUUCAACGAGUUUUACCUUGGCCGAGAGGCCUGGGCAAUCUUUUGAACCUGCAUCGUGAUAGGGAUAGAUUAUUGCAAUUAUUAAUCUUGAACGAGGAAUUCCUAGUAAACGCAGAUCAUCAAUCUGCAUUGAUUACGUCCCUGCCCUUUGUACACACCGCCCGUCGCACCUACCGAUUGAAUGGUCCGGUGAGGCCUCGGGAUUGUGGCGAGUUUCCUUUAUUGGAAGUUUGCCGCGAGAACUUGUCUAAACCUUAUCAUUUAGAGGAAGGUGAAGUCGUAACA